GAUGAACGCUAGCGGCAGGCUUAACACAUGCAAGUCGAGGGGUAACAUUGUAGUUUGCUACAGAUGACGACCGGCGAACGGGUGCGUAACGCGUAUAGAAUCUGCCUUGUACAGAGGGAUAGCCUUUAGAAAUGAAGAUUAAUACCUCAUAGUACUGAGAUGUGGCAUCACAUUUUAGUUAAAGAUUUAUCGGUACAAGAUGACUAUGCGUCCUAUUAGCUAGAUGGUAAGGUAACGGCUUACCAUGGCAACGAUAGGUAGGGGGUCUGAGGGGAUUAUCCCCCACACUGGUACUGAGACACGGACCAGACUCCUACGGGAGGCAGCAGUGAGGAAUAUUGGUCAAUGGAGGCAACUCUGAACCAGCCAUGCCGCGUGCAGGAAGACUGCCCUAUGGGUUGUAAACUGCUUUUAUAUGGGAAGAAACGCAGCUACGUGUAGUUGUUUGACGGUACCAUAAGAAUAAGCACCGGCUAACUCCG
rnacentral:rRNA from 1 species